ACAGAUGUGCCACUUCCAAUGCAGUAACAUGCACAAAGUGCCUUGCUUUGGGUCCAGAGUGUGGAUGGUGUGCUCAAGAGGAUUUCAUGGCCGGCACAGCACAGACAGGACGCUGUGACACUGUUUUUAACUUAAUGAAAAGAGGCUGCCAAUCAGAUUUUGUAGAAAAUCCCACAGUUCAUGUAACAAUACCGAGUGACCAUGAAACAAAUACACAAGUGACACCAGGAAAAGUUUCAGUCCAACUGCGUCCAGGAAGCGAAGCAAACUUUAUAUUAAAAGUCCGUCCUCUAGAGAAAUACCCUGUGGACCUCUAUUAUCUAGUUGAUGUCUCAGCCUCUAUGCACAACAAUAUAGAAAAAUUAAAUUCAGUUGGAUUUGCUUUAUCUAAAAAGAUGGAGAAUAUUUCUCUUGAUUUUCGACUUGGAUUUGGAUCAUAUGUGGAUAAAACUGUGUCACCCUAUAUUAGCAUUCACCCAGGUAGAAUCCAUAAUCAAUGCAGUGAUUAUAAUUUAGAUUGUAUGCCUCCUCACGGUUAUAUUCAUGUGCUGUCACUGACUGACAACAUAGCAGAAUUCAGAAACGUAGUGAAUAAACAAAAAAUUUCUGGGAAUAUUGAUACACCCGAAGGGGGUUUUGAUGCAAUGCUCCAAGCAGCUGUGUGCCAGAGUCAUAUUGGAUGGCGCAAAGAAGCAAAGCGACUACUUCUUGUGAUGACAGAUCAAACUUCCCAUCUGGCCCUUGAUAGUAAAUUAGCAGGGAUAGUAAUUCCCCAUGAUGGAAACUGCCAUCUGAAAGAUAAUGUGUAUGUCAAAGCUACAAGUAUGGAGCAUCCAUCACUUGGGCAGCUUUCUGAAAAGUUGAUUGACAAUAACAUCAAUGUUAUUUUCGCAGUUCAAGGAAGCCAGUUUCAUUGGUAUAAAGAUCUGUUACCUCUGUUGCCUGGUACUGUUGCAAGACAGAUAGAAUCACAAGCAGCAAAUCUCAAUGAUUUGGUGGUAGAAGCCUAUCAGAAACUAAUCUCUGAAGUGAAAAUUCAAGUGGAUAACCAGAUCCAAGAUCUUAAUUUCAAUAUCACUGCAAUCUGUCCUGAUGGAAGUAAAAAAACAGGCAUGGAAGGAUGUAAAAAUGUGGGAUAUAAUGAAGAAGUGCUUUUCAAUGUCUCUGUUAAAAUGAAAGGAUGUCAUACAACUGGAGGAAGAAAAUAUGUGAUACUUAAGCCUAUUGGUUUCAAUGAAACCACCAUCAUUAAUGUACAUAAAAACUGUGCCUGUCAGUGUGGAGACAGUGCAAGGCACAAAAGGGUUUGUGCUGAGGAAACUUUUCCUGAUGGUGAACAAUCCCAUUGCAGUGACGCUAACUGUAAUUCCAAUAGAGAUACAUUUGCUUCUGAGCGGUGCAGACCACACCAGGACCAGCCCAUCUGCAGUGGUCAAGGAGACUGCAUAGAUGGCAAAUGUUUCUGUUACAAAAACAAGCUGGGCAAGGUAUAUGGCACAUACUGUGAAAUGGAUGAUUUUUCCUGCCCGUAUCAUCAUGGAAGCUUGUGUUCUGGUAAUGGUGAAUGUGAAGCUGGUAAAUGUAAAUGCUUUGCUGGCUGGGAAGGUGACCGUUGCCAAUGUUCAUCACAAUCAGCAAAACACUGCCUGACUUCAAAGGGCCAGGUUUGCAGUGGAAGAGGAAAUUGUGUAUGUGGAAAGUGUGAGUGCACUGAUCCAAGAAGCUUUGGUCGUUUGUGUGAAUAUUGCCCUACUUGUAACAGUGCCUGUGAAGAAAACUGGAAUUGUGUUCAAUGCCAUUAUCCUAACAACGCAUCUCAAGCUGUACUUGACCAGUGUAAGACCUCAUGCACUUACAUGUUGCAUUAUAUUGACCACACUUCAGAAUGUUUCUCUGGACGAAGCUACUUUAGAAUCUUUUCCAUAAUCUUUAUAGUUACAUUUCUGAUUGGGUUGCUUACUGUACUUAUCAUCAGGCAGAUAAUUCUGCAGUGGAAUAGCAAUAAAGUUAAGUCUUCAGCUGAUUACAGAGUAUCUGCAACAAAGAAGGAUAAGAUGUUUUUGCCUACUGUUUGUACAAGAACAGUAACAUACAGACGUGACAAACCAGAAGAAAUAAAUAUCGACAUCAGCAAGUUACGAUUAAACGAAACUUUCAAGUGUGAAUUCUGAAGACAGUGUGUUUUCUGCAAAUGUCUAUUUUCAUCCUUUUCUACUUUUUAAAAGUUACCUUUUGUACUCUGUAAGAGUCUUGAUUGUUGCUGUUUGGUUUUGUCAUGCAUUUUGUUGAAUACUGUAACAAAGUGACAUGUAAGCAUAGUCACAUAAUGUGACUAUGUUUGAAACUAUAGCUGCUGUAUUUUUUUGAAAGAGAAAUGUGCAUUACUACUGUUCAGGAACAUUAGUGUUGAUGUAGCACUUUAAUGUAUUCUAAUUUAUUUAGUUAUGGCAUAGAAUGUAGAUAUGAACAGGUCUGACAAAGCACUGAUCUCACUCCACAUGUAGCUAGUACUGAUAAGCUCUGUGAGAAUGGACAAAAACUGUGACUGAACUAUUAAUAUUGCUGUAUAUUGUGGCAAUAGAUGAAACUUCAAAUACUCUUAAAUAGAGUGAAUGGUACUUUUAUAGUUCUCUCAGUUGACUAAAUUCCAUUGAUAUGUUUGUUUUAGCCUCUUAGCUUUUCCUCAUUACUAAAUAAAAAUGACUGGAUUAAAUGACUGCUUAGUUACACUGGUGUGUGUAUAGUUGUGUGUGUGUGUGUGUAUAUAUAUAUAUAUAUACACAUACAGAUACACACCCGUGCACACAUACAGAUAAAUAUGUAUAUAAUACAAUUUUUAAUCUAUUCAUGAUGGUGUCACUUAAAGAUAGUUUACAUCUGAUAAAGAGAAUAAUUUUUAGCUUUUUUACUUGUUUCAAAAUAAAAACUUUUAUAGAAAUUUUAAGAUAUGUGAAAACUGAGUGCAAACAGAAAAUGAGAGAGUUUCUCUCACCAGCAGCAUAGUCUACAGAGUAAUCACUUCUGGCUAACUUCACCUCUGGAGUUAGCAGCAUCAACUCUAUUGCAAUCAGAUAAAUUACACCAGAGCUGUAUUUGGUUUGCUAGCUACAUGUCAGUGUUUUGCCAAAUAAGGGCUCUGUUCUUUUUGAAUGUCAGACGUAAGUCUGAUUUUCCACAUAUGCUCUUUUUUUCUGUGUAAAAUCAGUUGACAGGAUUAGUUUUCUUGAAUCCUUACUUAACCACUUUAAUUUUUGUGACUGUGCAUUGAGAAAUGUGUCCAAUGUGGUAUGAAAAAGUAUCUGCAGUUCAAAAGAAGGUGGGGAAAAUAGGAGUCAUUUUUCUCAAGAGAAUAUGUUAGUUGACUUCAUAAACAUAGGAUCAAAUUCUGCCUUCAGAAACGAGCAAAAACUCUUCUAAACACAGUGGGACCAAUGUAAGCUUAUCUGAGAGCAGAAUUUAAGCUACAAGGUCAGCCAGAAACAUUUUCUUACCCUGAAGCAGGCUGUAGUGCUGCAAGACAUGUUAUUGCCAUAUGCUAUUUGAAAGGGUCAACUAACAGUCCAAUUUACUUAUUUUAUGCUGCCAAAACCAUAGGAAGUCCUGAUGAACCUCUUUGAAAUGUGCACUAAGGUCUAGCUGGCAAAAAAGUCAUCUCAGAAGACAGUCUGCGGUAUAUCAUUUUAGCAGUAUUAAUUACUGAUACUAAAUAUUGGUCCGUACUUACAACAGGUAAGAGUCACAGAAACGUCUUUAUAUGCCGUUUCUACAAAUGUAUAAUAUUAAUAUUUCCUAUUCUGUACAUUUUCUGUACUGCAAAUUCCCACUGAAAUCUGAGAAGUAUACGUGCAAAAAGAAGGCAGGAUGUAGAACAGAUGAUGAGUGUUAUGCAAGGGUUCACAGUGAAUUACUUGGGCCAAGGAUCAAAUGAGGGAUUAAGAAAAAUAAUAUAGAAACAGUGGGCUCUCCAUUGACUUAUCCUAAAAGCUUUAGAUUUUAGGGCCUGUUUUUAAACAUUUUAUAAACUGCACCAUUAAAUGUUUCUAAAGCAGUCUUCACAGUAGUACCUGAGCUUCUUACCAUGCAGUUAAAAGUGUCUCAUUUAAAGAAAAGAGGAAUUCCUUACCACAGACUCUAUCACAGAGUGUCUACACAGACACACUCACUAUCAUGUUAUUUACAGAUUAAUUCUAUAUGAAGAAUUGUUCUAUAAUAUAUCAACUAUACUUUAAACUCUAUUUUAUUUUUAAAACAGAACAGCAUAGAACCAUUUUCUUCCUGUGGAAAUUAACGGAGUCUAGACCAUUGGGAUUAAUCCCACUUAAUCCAGUGGGAUUAAGAUAAACUAUCUGUAAGAGAUUACUUAAUAUUGUCCUUGUCACAAUUAGUAUUUUUAAGUGAGUAGAAAACAGGGUGCCUGGUUAUCUGUUUAACAUAAGAACAACAAAACUAUUAAAAGCUGAACUGAAAAUAUUUGAAUAUUUAACAAAAGAUGUAGUUAUGCUCUUGAAAGAAUGGGAUACCAUUUUUUUCACAAAAAGGAUUCCUCAGAAUGUAUUUCCCAUAAUAGCCGUUAGACCAUUCAGUGAAGUGAUAGCUAUUGGUUUUUUUUUUAAUUAAUUUUCACUGUUAGACAGAGUUCAAGUGCAGGGGUGGGGGACAGCGGGGCAAUGGAGCUGCGUUUGUUGCAGGAGGAAGAUUUGAGUGGUAACACUUUAUCUUUCAGGCACAUCACAUUGCUACUACUUUCCUUCUGCAGCACUGUUCCAGUGCUGCCUGAGAGGGGCCAGCCAGUGUUUUGUUAUCAGAACACCUGCCUGAACAUUCAAUCCGCUCUGGUAAAUGGAGCAGGCUCGCAGGACAAACUGCACUAUACCAUUAACAAGAAAAAGUCUUGCUGCUCAAGCUCUCGGAGGAGGAAAGAAACUUAAAUUACAGCCUCUAAACCCGGAGGAGGAAAGAAAUCAUCAUUUCAGCCACUUUUUUGACAGCAGUCAUGUCUGCAAUAAAGACAAGAAUCCUGGAAAUACACUCCUGCUACCCUGGG